ensembl:lincRNA 6720427I07Rik RIKEN cDNA 6720427I07 gene
ACUUGCUGCAUUGUUUUUAUCUAGAGGAUAUUAUAAAACAUAGGUGAAUUCUGACCUUUUGUUUUAUUUUACAGUUCAUUUCCUCAGUGCAAUAAACAUUGUUAUAACAUUUUUAGUGUUCAUGUUUAAAGAAAUUUGGACAAAUAUCUGAAUGAGAAAAGUAAGUAUCUAGGACCAGGCCUUUUGGGAUUAUUAAUAGAUGUAUAGUUUUAUAUUUCUGUUACACAUGCCCAGAGAAAGAUGUCACAGGUAAAUGGGCAUACCAACUGGAAGGGUACUGCUGGACUAAAUUGAAAUCUGGUUAUUUUAUUAUCAUACUUAAAAUGCUCUGAGUAUUAAUAUUACUUCACUGGUAUAUUGAUUUGGACAGACACAGGAAAGAGGGGCUCUGGCUUCUGUCUUAGUUCUCCUAAGGCCUCAAUUUUACCCACAAGACAAAGGAGUCACCCAAAACUCGGUUUGACAAAGCCCAUAAUUGGUAGCUUUAAAGAAAAUAUGAGAGGGGUAUUUUAAAAGGUGACUUGAAUGUUAGCAGUGUUGAUGGGCUCAUGUUUCAGCUUUUUCUAGUGCUCAAACUAUCUGUUGGACCUUCUAAGCAAGGCCAAAAGCUCUAGGUUUUAACUGUUUGCUGUAGUAAAGAGAGGGGGAAAGGCAAAACGUGGAAGCAAGGGCAGUUAUAUCUAACUAUAGUUCAGUGCAUUGGUAUAGUCAGUAUGAUCUUUUCAUGAAUAAAACUCCUUUGGAUAAGCUCAGGUCAAGUGAUAUAUCCUGAACCAAAUGUAAACUUUUUAUUUAAUAAUCUUGUGUAGGUGGACACUUUGGAAAAUUUGGUGUUUGUUACAUACAAAACAUUGACCACAUAGAGGAACAGGUGGGGAAUAUAUACGUCUUAUUUAAUGCCAAAGAAAAGGAGAAAUGUUUAAGAUUCUUUUUGGCUUAAUCUUUUUGCUUUUUGGCUUUUUCUUAAGUUGACUGCAUAACCUACCUGUUGAAUGUAUUGCAAGUAGCCAAGGAAUUUUGUGACCCCUUAUUCCUCCAGCAUGGCUAUCUACCAGUUUGCAGUUUUGUAACAUCCUUUACUGAGGCCUGGGGAUGAUUAUUUAUAUUUUAGUUAUGAAUUGCAUGAGGACUAACAUCCUUAUUAUACCAAAUAGAUGGAAUUUGUAGAACUGGUGUAUUUUGUAAAACCACUGAAGUGACUAUGCAAAGUGAUAGAAUCACUUAAAACUGGUCUUUGCCAGUGGUAAAAGUCAUGACCUGAAUUUGCUUCUGUUUUAAUUCAGGCAUCAAAAAUUGAAAUAAUGGAGAUGCUAGUUAUAAGUGAGAAGUAUGUGGCCAGUAAAUGGCAAAAGCUUUAGGCUCAUUUGUUUGACUUGAUAAGUAAUUUUCUGGUUACCAAGAGGCCAUUUUAUGAGAGUUGAUAUUUGAAGUUUUGAUAAUUGUUUUAAAUAAAAUAUACAGUGGGCUGAGUGUUAGAGAUUGUUGGUUUCUUUUUUAAUCCUCUGAUUAAAUUGGAUUAAUUUUUAACAUAACCUAAAAAUUUGAUUUUUUAAUCGAUUGCAAUUUUUUUGGCUUUUGCCAAGAUCACGUGACCAAGAACUUUAAAGAAUAUCAAGGAAUUCUAAAUGGUUGAAUUUUAAAUAACUCAAAGGCCUGAUUUAACAGGUGUGUGAAGUGCAUCUGCCAAGUAGAAGACCAGCAAGAAUAAAAUGGGUUCCUAGGAAGAGGUAGUAGGUUGCAUAGUUUUAGGGCAGAGAUUUUGCCCACAAGGAGUUAACUAUACGACCUGCUGCCUUUCUUAGGGCCUUAUUAUACCAGCAUACGUUUCCUUUCUGCCUUGGGUUCGUGUAAGCAAGAGUUGUUCUUCAUGCAGUGGUUCUCGUAAGUGGGAACAUUGCAGGCCUUCUGAAGACAGUAUUUACAUUGAUGAUUAGUAAACAGCAUUGCACUACAUCAGUCAUCUAAUGAGACUUUGAAUUUUCCAAAGUAAAUCUUAGUUGCUAAUGUAUCUUACAUUGGGGUAACUGGGAAGUUUUGGAAAGCAGUUUUCAUAUUCAUCUUUUACUUAAUUUUCCUUUUGUGACAUGGGGAGGAACAUCAGCUAUUCCCAUAUUAUGUUUGAAAGAAAGCAUUCGGGAUAUUUAUUUGGCUUUAACAUUAUGUGAAAUUGAUGUGUUUUCUGAGGUGUGGGAGGUAAUUGUGUUAAGUGGCUCAGUACAGCAUGCAGCUUGACAAUACAAAUGACAAUGGUUGCUGGGAUAGUAGACUAACAUUUUCAAUAAAAAUAUGACAUACUUAAA